UCUGGAAAGAGAGUUUGUGUGUGUGUGAGAGAGAGAAAGAGGCGCAGGGAGCGCUGGGAAGUGUAGUAGUCUCCCCCCUCCUUUUUCUUCUUCUAUCGGCUUCCCGUCUGCCGUUUCUGCAGCAGGGAGUGCUGGGAGUCAUUGUCACCUCGUGCUGAGCUUGAGGCCUAGCCCCUUCGUGUGGAUGGUUAGAGAGCAAAGGUAGUUGUGGAGCCACCGGCAGCCAUAGACCUCAUUCUCACAAAGCAGCAAAUGCAGUGGUGGCAAACCCAGUCCUGGACUAUAUCACUUCAGAGUUUGGGGGUGGAAAUCGUGUAUAUUAAAAGCUAGAUGUUAGGCGCUUCUGCUUCUCCCUGACAUGCUCUAUUUCUAGGUGCAGGGAGGAGUCCUAUGAGACUGUACUUGUCGCUGGAAGUGGUACAGCAGAUUUACCACUGCACCAGCCACUUGUGAGACUUGUCCAGACUAUACUAGAAGGAACUGUUAAUCAUGUUAUUUCUCAUAAAGCAGAAGACCAUAAUGAUUUUAGAUUGCCUACAUUUGUGAGAGUGGUGCCUGUUCACCUUUCAACUCAGGAUCCUGCUUAAUUAUUUCCUUGGAAUUUUGAAGGAGACAUAUUCCUACAUAAUGAAAACAACUCCAGCUGGCAGUUGACAGGUGGAGGCAGAGUUCAAGGCAAGAAUGCUGCUACCACAGCACAGAAACACACUUAUCAUUCCUCUGCAGGUAUUGCUCUUCAGUGUCUGAACUUGCAGUGAAAUGAAGAGGGCAGAGCUAUGAGAGACAAGGUGAUGGAGCUGUCGGCUGCUGGGGAACGAACCUGGGAAGGAGCCUUAGAAAGCUUUGGGAAGGUGGGGAUCUCCAGUCCUUGCAACUGCUUCGUUGGGUCUAGACCUACAGGGAAGGGUUGCUGUGACCAGUAGGACUGAGUUGCUUUGUUUCUUUGAAUAAAGAGUUAUCUUCACCGCCAUCAGGUGCUUUAUUAUUUUAUUGCUGACCUAGCCAGCUCCUGACACUGUCACAAGUGGAAA